CUCACAGUUGCCAACCCUGGUGAUGCAGAAGCCCUGGGAGGACUUAACCAGGGAGUGAGUGAACAGCAGCGUUCCAGACAGAAGCUGCCUCGGUGGCCUGGGUCCUGGAGUGACAAUGACGUGGAGCAAAUCCACAGCCACGACAAGACGAACACGAAGCAUGAGCACGAGUGAGCGUCUGUUUUGGACACGGCGCCCGCGGAGGAAGGACUGUGUCGUCAUCGAUCAGAGCUUCCUGCACUCAGCCUGCAGCGCGCCUCCUGACGCAGCCUGGCCCCUUCCCAUCUACGCUCCUCCUCGACGGGGCCUUCGUUCCUGGAAAUUAGUUCAGUAGAUGUACCUGCGUGUAUGUGUGUGCGUACAUGUAUAUGAAUAAAGCCU